UAGGGAAUCUUCCGCAAUGGACGAAAGUCUGACGGAGCAACGCCGCGUGAGUGAAGAAGGUUUUCGGAUCGUAAAACUCUGUUGUUAGGGAAGAACAAGUGCCGUUCGAAUAGGGCGGCGCCUUGACGGUACCUAACCAGAAAGCCACGGCUAACUACGUGCCAGCAGCCGCGGUAAUACGUAGGUGGCAAGCGUUGUCCGGAAUUAUUGGGCGUAAAGCGCGCGCAGGUGGUUUCUUAAGUCUGAUGUGAAAGCCCACGGCUCAACCGUGGAGGGUCAUUGGAAACUGGGGAACUUGAGUGCAGAAGAGGAAAGUGGAAUUCCAAGUGUAGCGGUGAAAUGCGUAGAUAUUUGGAGGAACACCAGUGGCGAAGGCGACUUUCUGGUCUGUAACUGACACUGAGGCGCGAAAGCGUGGGGAGCAAACAGGAUUAGAUACCCUGGUAGUCCACGCCGUAAACGAUGAGUGCUAAGUGUUAGAGGGUUUCCGCCUUUAGUGCUGCAGCUAACGCUAA
rnacentral:rRNA from 1 species